CCUAUAGUAGUAUGUAACCUUUCAUUAGUCGAUUAAAUUUAAUGUUAGAAGUGAGCAUAUACGGAAGUAGAUGUAAUAUAUGCUGAGAAGCGAGUAAAUUGUUAUUUUUUUAAAGUUUCUCAAUGACUGUACAGUGGGCUUUAUUGCUUUUUCGGAAACGGAUAAUAAAAACACAUAUCUGACGCAGUUUAGCAUUAAAACUGCGUUAGAUUUCACAAAAGUGAGAAAGCCGAUGUGAUACGAGAAAUCAGGAUACAGAUUUGCAGCGUGGCUGUUUGGCAGCGUGAAUAUAGUAGCCUAACAGCGUGGCAGUUUGGAGGCAGUCUGGAAGCAUGACAGCCUAGCAGACAGGCAGCUUGAACUUACCAGCAUGACAGCUUGGUAGCCAGGCAGCAUGAUAAUAUCAGCAUGGAAGCUUGAACUUAGCAGAGCAAGAGGUUUAAAAAAAGACUAAGAGUACGGAGAAUGUUAUAAAAAGUUUAAUUGUACAUGGACAUGUUGUUCAAUGCAUAGUAGGGGGUUCAACUACAACAUUUAUAUUUUAGAUGAAUCAUAUAUGCCGGAGAAUAAAGAUUGCAUUAUCAAAAAGUUACCUUGGUGAAACCUGACCUCUACAUUUCAAUAAAAAGUCUGCGUUAUCUAUUUUACAAGUUCUUCUAGAUUGUUUGCAUACUACUCCACGCGAUAAAAUAGAACAGCAAGGACAUUUGUGCAGGCUUUGUCACUCUGAACAUGUUUUCUUGUAACCGAAGAACAUUUAUUUUAUGAAAGGAUCUGUAAUUAUAUUUUGCUGACAUUAAAAUGCAGUAAAAAACCUUCUGUUUAAUAGAGACUCAAGAAAGAUAACACCUAGACCUAGUAUGCAUAAAUCAUAUGUGGAAAAUAACCAGUCAGACUAAUGUUAACCUCGUUAGUCGUAUAUCUUAAAUAAGGUUUUUGAUUAAUUGCCUCUCUCCAGGACGUUCAUGUCAACAAUUCGUAGUCAAAUGGACGAUGUCGGAAGAUGUUAUCUUCAGUAAGUGUAGGACGAACAAAAGAUAUUCCUCCACUCUUUAUUUUGUCAAGUGUAUGAAUAAAUCAUUAGUUAUAAAACUGUACCACAUUUACCGUAUAUGCAAAACAUACCAGUAUUUGGAAUAUUUAUCAAAUUUGAAAACAAUUAGUCAAUAUCUUGUGGAAUCAUUACGAAGGAUGGACUUUUAUUUUUCGACGCCAAUGGUCUAUCCAUUAGCGUCGGUCCAGAUGAGAGUAUCAUUCGUGUAAGUGUUUGGGCAUAAUACACAUAUACCUGUAUACUGAAGCCCUGAGCUACCCUUAUCUACCUGUUACAUUGCGUGCCUCAGUUAAUAGAACUAUCACACGGGACCCCUGUUUAACGUCCUUCUUGGUAGACAAUUUGUAUUCAAGUGGUGUGUUUGGGAUCAAAUCUGGGUUAAGAGUCAAUUGUCUUACCAGAAUUGAUCCUCAUCACUCAUAUAACUCACCUUCUUAAGAUGUAAACCAAGUCACGGUUACGUAAGGUAAUGCUCUAGCCCCAAUUUCUCGAAACUUCUUAAGUCCCUUAUAAUAGGAUUAAGCUAAUCUCACGAUUAAUGUUGUUCUAUAAAAUGUGUUAUAUUUAUUUCUUCAAGAAUUUUUAGAAAUUAUGCAGGAAUAAUCUGUAUGAUUAUCAGAAUUAACCAUUUUUCAUUUAUCAAAAUCCAUUUUCAGUAUGUAUUUUGGCUAAUUGAAAUAAGCGACUAAAGCUUGAUAAGCUUAAGAAAUUUCGAGAAACUGGGGCCCGGUGCAUAUAUAGUAGAGGAUAUUGGCAAAGCUGUAGAUAUCGUCUUCCUGAUAGUUUCGCAGUAGUGGGCAAUCUCCGUGGUGUUCCCAAGUCAUCCAUAUCAGUUCUAGUAAACAUUUCACAUGUUACAUUGCGUUUAUUUGAGAAAUCUAUGUCCGGAGAUAUCUUAACUUGAAACAUAAAUUUAAUUUAUCUAAGUAAAGUUUGGCUUCGUCUGGAGAAGAAUUAAGUGAGUAUGCAAACGAUGUAAGCAUCGGGACACAAACCGAUAAGUCUGUUGUCAAAUAUUUGGCCUACCUAGCAAGUAGAGAUUGAAAUUGGAACCUAGCAUUAAGACCAUCUUUUGCGACGUUACAAUGAUAAACGAUACCUGAUUUUUUCAGUUACCUUAAAACUGGAUGUAUCUUGUAUCGGGUGAUAUUUUGCAGCAGGGGAUUAAAUGUUGAUCGUUAUAAUAUGAAAUAGUUAAAUUAUGCAAACAAAUUAUUUAAUUUUGUUAUUUAUCAUGCUUGGCAUCUUCAAAUUAAAUAUUAAGUGUACAAAAAUGUAAAAACUAUAUGCUAAUUUAAAACAAAUUUCAUGCCCGUAAAAUGGUUUGUGAAGAAUGAUAAAUACUUCUGCAAUAGAUAAAGAAAACUCCCAUCCGAAUGUGAUCAUAUUUCUAUCUGAUAUAAAUGAGCUGUCAGCUGUCUUUAUUCAAAUUGUCCAUAAAUUACCUCGUAAUAUCUAUAAAAUCUAAACUUAAGUGCUUACCAACAAUGUUUUCCUUGUUUGCAUUACGAAGCACAUAUUCGGAAAAGUAUCCAACGCAUUACCUUUUAAAAAAAGGUUUUCCUCCAUCCGCUUUCUUUAUUCAAAUAACAAGCAUUAAUUACCAUUUAAUGUCUACAAAAAAUCUUUAAGUGCUUAACAAAAACGUUUUCCUUGUCUGUAAUACAAAGCGAAUAUUUAGAAUAUUUGGCAACACGUUUACUUUUAAAGAGCUAGAAACUUUCCUAUUUAACGAAGAGUUCGUUAUCAUAUGCGAUUAACAAAUGUUUAAUAAUUAUUAAAUAUACAUGUAUAAAGCUGAACACAUAUGCAGGUGGGGAACGGUACUGAGUCACUUAAACAUCAAUUUAGGCCCAUAUUCAUAGUCUGUCAUGUAUGUUACAGUCAUGAGCUGCAAUUUAGGCAUCCAUCUGAUCUUAUAAUAUAUGCAGUAUUUAACAGUCAUUGAGUUCAUUCGAACACAUAUGCAGUAUGAAAUAGUCUCGAGCCAUUUAAGCAUCCAUCCUAACCUAUGUACUCGUAAUAGUCCUAAGUCAUUGAUACAUGAAUCUUAUAUCGAUGUUAUAGUAUU